UACGAAGGGGGCUAGCGUUGCUCGGAAUUACUGGGCGUAAAGCGCACGUAGGCGGUCUUUUAAGUCGGGGGUGAAAUCCUGGAGCUCAACUCCAGAACUGCCUUCGAUACUGGAAGACUUGAGUCCGGGAGAGGUGAGUGGAACUGGCGAGUGUAGAGGUGAAAUUCGUAGAUAUUCGCAAGAACACCAGUGGCGAAGGCGGCUCACUGGCCCGGUACUGACGCUGAGGUGCGAAAGCGUGGGGAGCAAACAGG
rnacentral:rRNA from 1 species